rnacentral:rRNA from 1 species
GACGAACGCUGGCGGCGUGCUUAACACAUGCAAGUCGAACGGAAAGGCCCUGCUUUUGUGGGGUGCUCGAGUGGCGAACGGGUGAGUAACACGUGAGUAACCUGCCCUUGACUUUGGGAUAACUUCAGGAAACUGGGGCUAAUACCGGAUAGGAGCUCCUGCUGCAUGGUGGGGGUUGGAAAGUUUCGGCGGUUGGGGAUGGACUCGCGGCUUAUCAGCUUGUUGGUGGGGUAGUGGCUUACCAAGGCUUUGACGGGUAGCCGGCCUGAGAGGGUGACCGGCCACAUUGGGACUGAGAUACGGCCCAGACUCCUACGGGAGGCAGCAGUGGGGAAUAUUGCACAAUGGGAGGAAGCAUGAUGCAGCAACGCCGCGUGCGGGAUGACGGCCUUCGGGUUGUAAACCGCUUUCGCAUGUGACGAAGCGUGAGUGACGGUAAUGGGUAAAGAAGCACCGGCUAAGUACGUG